GACAGAGGGUGCAACCGUUGGUCGGAAUUACUGGGCGUAAAGCGUGCGUAGACGGCUAUCUAAGUCGGGUGUGAAAGCCCCGGGCUCAACCUGGGAAUUGCAUUCGAGACUGAAUAGCUAGGGUACGGUAGAGGGAAGUGGAAUUUCCGGUGUAGCGGUGAAAUGCGUAGAUAUCGGAAGGAACAUCAGUGGCGAAAGCGACUUCCUGGACCAGUACCGACGUUCAGGCACGAAAGCGUGGGGAGCAAACGGG
rnacentral:rRNA from 1 species